rnacentral:rRNA from 1 species
CCGGCGCACGGUGAGUAACACGUAUGCAAUCCACCUGUAACAGGGGGAUAACCCGGAGAAAUCCGGACUAAUACCCCAUAAUAUGGGCGCUCCGCAUGGAGAGCCCAUUAAAGAAAAGCAAUUUUGGUUACAGACGAGCAUGCGCUCCAUUAGCCAGUUGGCGGGGUAACGGCCCACCAAAGCGACGAUGGAUAGGGGUUCUGAGAGGAAGGUCCCCCACAUUGGAACUGAGACACGGUCCAA